rnacentral:rRNA from 1 species
UACGAGGGGGGCGAGCGUUGUUCGGAAUUAUUGGGCGUAAAGGGUGCGUAGGCGGUUUGGUAAGUCUUAUGUGAAAUCUAUGGGCUCAACUCAUAGUCUGCAUGAGAAACUGCCGGGCUUGAGUAUGGGAGAGGUGAGUGGAAUUCCUGGUGUAGCGGUGAAAUGCGUAGAUAUCAGGAGGAACACCUGUGGCGAAAGCGGCCCACUGGACCAUAACUGACGCUGAUGCACGAAAGCUAGGGGAGCAAACAGG